GUUCUUCCCGGAAGUGCCCUGCUGGUGCUGGGAGUAGGGCGCAAGAUGUCGGCGGAUGCAGCUCCGAGGAGGUAGGCAGUGGGAGCCGGCGUUCAGUCCGGCCCGUGCCAACAGUGGUUCCUCUCUCCCCCGUAGUUCGAGGAGACCACGCGCUGCCCCUCUGGCACGAUCGUGGAUGAACCCCCUGGCAACUGAAAUGGGAAAGGCAGCGCCCCCGACUCUGGGGACUGGACCGAAGUCCACGGUAGUGACAGCUGCCAGACCCUGAGGAGAGGACGAGAAGACCCGAGGCCUCUGCUACGAACACUGGCAGCCGAUGGAAAAUUCAGACGGAUUUGGGACAGUAUGCAGAGUUCUCCAAGCGACAGAUUAACAGAGGCUCUUGAAGAAUAACUGCGUAAUCACGUGUUCUGCUCAAAAGAAGGCCUGAAUGCCCAGUGCCUUAUUUGGCUUUCAGGGGUCUUGCGGUGUCACCCAGGCUAGAGUACAGUGGUGCAAUCAUAGCUCACUGCUGCCUCAAACUCCUAGACUCAAGCAAUCCUCCUGCUUCAGCCUCCCGAGUAGCUGGGACUACAGGUAGAUGAUGGGCUCCACGGGAACAGAGCAAACGUUCGCUCCUGCUCCUACACGGUGUUUCCUCUAAACCUGAGGCUCAGCCGACUUGUCAUCACUUAAAACCCAAUUCAGAGCGGGGGGGCACUGCCAGUGAAUAGUUCAUCACCGACUCAGUUUCCCCAUGUGUAUGCUGUGGUAUUGGAUCAGCAACGAGAUAAGAAGAUCUCUCCCAUUUCCAAGCGUCUAUGAUGAUUCUGAGGCACAAGGUCACAUUUGACAGUACUAGGAAACCCAGGAAACAAGAAGCAAAGAUGACAAAGGCUGUGUCUGCCUGGGCAGACGAUCUAUUUGGACAAGAUAAUAGACCCAGGCAUGGACAUGCUCUCCAAGAAAGAUGCCCUGACAGCUGCUCACACUGAAGCUGAAUCGAACAUUCCAAUCCUUAGAGGUUCCAGCGAAGAUCUUGAAGUCUCCCUGAGCCAUUGACACAAUGGCCAUGCCAUCCCAGUGAUAAAACACAAAUUGUGGCCUUGUUUUGGACAGAAAUAAAGAGCCCAGUUUGUUAGUGAU
rnacentral:lncRNA from 10 species